GGAGAGUUUGAUCAUGGCUCAGAUUGAACGCUGGCGGUAGGCUUAACACAUGCAAGUCGUGCGAGAAAGUAUCUUCGGAUAUGAGUAGAGCGGCGGACGGGUGAGUAACGCGUAGGAAUCUACCUAGUAGAAGGGGAUAACCCGGGGAAACCCGGAUUAAUACCGUAUACCUCCUUCGGGAGAAAGAAGGCCUCUCUUUGAAGCUUUCGCUAUUAGAUGAGCCUGCGUAAGAUUAGCUUGUAGGUGAGGUAACGGCUCACCUAAGCUCCGAUAGGUAGGGGUCCUGAGAGGGAGACCAUCCACACUGGUACUGAGACACGGACCAGACUUCUACGGAAGGCAGCAGUAAGGAAUAUUGGACAAUGGAGGAAACUCUGAUCCAGCCAUGCCGCGUGAAGGAAGACGGCCUUAUGGGUUGUAAACUUCUGUUAUACAGGAAGAAACCUUUCCACGUGUGGAAAGCUGACGGUACUGUAAGAAAAAGGAUCGGCUAACUCCGUGCCAGCAGCCGCGGUAAUACGGAGGAACCAAGCGUUAUCCGGAAUUAUUGGGUUUAAAGGGUCCUCAGGCUGUUUGUUAAGUCAGAGGUGAAAGCCUACCGCUCAACGGUAGAACUGCCUGUGAUACUGACAGACUUGAGUUAUUGUGAAGUAGUUAGAAUGUGUAGUGUAGCGGUGAAAUGCAUAGAUAUCACACAGAAUACCAAUUGCGAAAGCAGAUCACUAACAAUAUACUGACGCUGAGGGACGAAAGCGUGGGUAGCGAACAGGAUUAGAUACCCUGG
rnacentral:rRNA from 1 species